rnacentral:rRNA from 1 species
AGUGAACGCUGGCGGUAGGCCUAACACAUGCAAGUCGAACGGCAGCACAGUAAGAGCUUGCUCUUACGGGUGGCGAGUGGCGGACGGGUGGGGAAUACAUCGGAAUCUACUUUUUCGUGGGGGAUAGCGUAGGGAAACUUACGCUAAUACCGCAUACGACCUACGGGUGAAAGCAGGGGAUCUUCGGACCUUGCGCGAUUGAAUGAGCCGAUGUCGGAUUAGCUAGUUGGCGGGGUAAAGGCCCACCAAGGCGACGAUCCGUAGCUGGUCUGAGAGGAUGAUCAGCCACACUGGAACUGAGACACGGUCCAGACUCCUACGGGAGGCAGCAGUGGGGAAUAUUGGACAAAGGGCGCAAGCCUGAUCCAGCCAUACCGCGUGGGUGAAGAAGGCCUUCGGGUUGUAAAGCCCUUUUGUUGGGAAAGAAAAGCAGCAGGUUAAUACCCCGCUGUUCUGACGGUACCCAAAGAAUAAGCACCGGCUAACUUCGUG